AGGGUUCGAUUCUGGCUCAGGACGAACGCUGGCGGCGUGCCUAAUACAUGCAAGUAGAACGCUGAGGACUGGUGCUUGCACUGGUCUAAGGAGUUGCGAACGGGUGAGUAACGCGUAGGUAACCUACCUCAUAGCGGGGGAUAACUAUUGGAAACGAUAGCUAAUACCGCAUGACAAUAGGGUACACAUGUACCCUAUUUAAAAGGGGCAAAUGCUUCACUAUGAGAUGGACCUGCGUUGUAUUAGCUAGUUGGUAAGGUAACGGCUUACCAAGGCGACGAUACAUAGCCGACCUGAGAGGGUGAUCGGCCACACUGGGACUGAGACACGGCCCAGACUCCUACGGGAGGCAGCAGUAGGGAAUCUUCGGCAAUGGGGGGAACCCUGACCGAGCAACGCCGCCGUGAGUGAAGAAGGUUUUCGGAUCGUAAAGCUCUGUUGUUAGAGAAGAACGGUAAUGGGAGUGGAAAAUCCAUUACGUGACGGUAACUAACCAGAAAGGGACGGCUAACUACGUGCCAGCCGCAGC
rnacentral:rRNA from 1 species